GCCGAUGAGGACGUGCGUAUGAUCGCCGCUGAGGCCCCCGUGGUGUUCGCUCGUGCCUGCGAGAUGUUCAUCCUGGAGCUGACACACCGCUCCUGGGGCCAUGCCGAGGAGAACAAGCGCAGGACUCUGCAGAAGAAUGAUAUCGCUGCCGCUAUAACCCGUACUGACGUGUUUGAUUUUCUGGUUGAUAUUGUGCCGAGGGAGGAGGGGAGGGAGGACGUACUGCCACGGGCCGCACUCGGGGCGCCAGCGGGCGACCCACUUUCUUACUAUUAUGUGCAGCAGUAGAGGUGGUGAGGCUUCUUUGCAUGUUGUGUGCUUCCUGCUGGGGCUGUUGUUGUUGGUACUAGUUAUGUUUGUGUUUUUCUUUUGUUGUUUUU
rnacentral:misc_RNA from 1 species